rnacentral:rRNA from 1 species
GAUGAACGCUGGCGGCGUGCCUAAUACAUGCAAGUCGAGCGAACAGAUAAGGAGCUUGCUCCUUUGACGUUAGCGGCGGACGGGUGAGUAACACGUGGGUAACCUACCUAUAAGACUGGGAUAACUUCGGGAAACCGGAGCUAAUACCGGAUAACAUUUGGAACCGCAUGGUUCUAAAGUGAAAGAUGGUUUUGCUAUCACUUAUAGAUGGACCCGCGCCGUAUUAGCUAGUUGGUAAGGUAACGGCUUACCAAGGCGACGAUACGUAGCCGACCUGAGAGGGUGAUCGGCCACACUGGAACUGAGACACGGUCCAGACUCCUACGGGAGGCAGCAGUAGGGAAUCUUCCGCAAUGGGCGAAAGCCUGACGGAGCAACGCCGCGUGAGUGAUGAAGGGUUUCGGCUCGUAAAACUCCGUUAUUAGGGAAGAACAAAUGUGUAAGUAACUGUGCACGUCUUGACGGUACCUAAUCAGAAAGCCACGGCUAACUACGUG